GCGGCAUUAGUUCACUGGUAGAACGCAACUUUUCCAAAGUUGAUGUAAGGGGUCCGAUUCCCCUAUGCCGCU
rnacentral:tRNA from 1 species